rnacentral:other from 1 species
AGUUCCCUGCCGUGCUCGUGACGCACAUCACGUUCUUGAACCGUUAAGAACAUCAAGGGAGUGCCGGUGAUCGGCGACGUGGCCGUCCGGCCCCGCAAGGGGCGGCGGCGACCGACCCGGUCGGAGGCGCACCCACCUGGACAUUUCCGGGUUUCAAGAACCGAGUGCGCACGGCAUUUCGGCGGGGAUCAU